UUCCCGUGGCUUAGUGGUAAGAGUGUCCUCCUUGGAUGCGGAAGGUCGUGGAUUCGAUCCCCAGUCGAGUCAU